rnacentral:rRNA from 1 species
UUCGCCCUUAGAGUUUGAUCCUGGCUCAGGACGAACGCUGGCGGCGUGCCUAACACAUGCAAGUCGAGCGGAGACACAGUUGAAGCGUAAGUGGAUGCUAUGUUUUAGCGGCGGACGGGUGAGUAACGCGUGAGCAACCUUUCCUUUACUGGGGGAUAACACAGCGAAAGUUGUACUAAUACCGCAUAAGACCACAACGGGACAUCCCGAAGGGGUCAAAGGAGCAAUCCGGUAAAGGGUGGCCUCGCGUCUGAUUAGCUAGUUGGUGAGGUAACGGCCCACCAAGGCGACGAUCAGUAGCCGACCUGAGAGGGUGAUCGGCCACAUUGGGACUGAGACACGGCCCAAACUCCUACGGGAGGCAGCAGUGGGGAAUAUUGGGCAAUGGGGGAAACCCUGACCCAGCAACGCCGCGUGAGGGAAGAAGGUUUUCGGAUCGUAAACCUCUGUCCUUGGUGAAGAGAAAGAGACGGUAGCCAAGGAGGAAGCCCCGGCUAACUACGUGCCAGCAGCCGCGGUAAUACGUAGGGGGCAAGCGUUGUCCGGAAUGAUUGGGCGUAAAGGGCGCGUAGGCGGCCCGGUAAGUCUGGAGUGAAAGUCCCUGCUUUAAGGUGGGAAUUGCUUUUGGAUACUUUCGGGCUUGAGUGCAGGAGAGUUAAGUGGAAUUCCCAGUGUAGCGGUGAAAUGCGUAGAGAUUGGGAAGAACACCAGUGGCGAAGGCGACUUACUGGACUGUAACUGACGCUGAGGCGCGAAAGUGUGGGGAGCAAACAGGAUUAGAUACCCUGGUAGUCCACACUGUAAACGAUGAAUGCUAGGUGUAGGGGGUAUCGACCCCUUCUGUGCCGCAGUCAACACAAUAAGCAUUCCGCCUGGGGAGUACGGCCGCAAGGUUGAAACUCAAAGGAAUUGACGGGGGCCCGCACAAGCAGCGGAGCAUGUGGUUUAAUUCGACGCAACGCGAAGAGCCUUACCAGGUCUUGACAUCCAGUUAAAGCCGCGUAAAUGCGGUGUGAGCUUGCUCAAACUGAGACAGGUGGUGCAUGGUUGUCGUCAGCUCGUGUCGUGAGAUGUUGGGUUAAGUCCCGCAACGAGCGCAACCCCUGUUUCUAGUAGCCAGCAGUAAGAUGGGAACUCUAGAGAGACUGCCCGGGACAACCGGGAGGAAGGCGGGGAUGACGUCAAAUCAUCAUGCCCCUUAUGACCUGGGCUACACACGUGCUACAAUGGCGUAAACAAAGGGAAGCAAACUCGUAAGAGCAAGCAAAUCCGAUAAAGUACGUCUCAGUUCGGACUGUGGCCUGCAACCCGGCCACACGAAGCCGGAAUCGCUAGUAAUCGCAGAUCAGCAUGCUGCGGUGAAUACGUUCCUCGGGUCUUGUACACACCGCCCGUCA